rnacentral:lncRNA from 1 species
UUAAAUCUAUUUUUAACAUAAUAUAUACUAAAGUAAAGCCCUUAUUAUAAUUUUUAAUUUAAUAUUAUAUUUUUUAAAAUAUUUUAUCAUUAGUUAAAUUAUACUACAAUUUUUAUAAAUAGAGAAAAAGAAAAAGAAAUAAAAAAAUACUCCCUCCGUCCACCAAAAACAGUCCUAAAGGUGGACGGCAUGGGUUUUAAUAAAAACUAGAUGACUGCCCAAAAACUGUAACAGAACAAAGGAAAAAUCAGGAUGUACAAGCAUAACCCAGAAAAAAUCAGGAUGUACAAGCAUAACCCAGGAACAUAUAAAAUAUUUUUAAUUGUGUACUCUCCCAUAUCUCAAAUAAAAAAAUUAAGCAUUUGAUCUCAAGUAACCAAUGUCAUUAUCAUUACCUAACCAUAUAACAGAUUUAAUUUAGGAAUUUGUUGUCAAGGGAUAUAUUCAAAGGUAAAAAGCGGAGAGUUAUCCACAGGAAGAUAAUAGAGGAGAACAACCAAUGUGGCAAUACAAAACAAUCAAAUAAGAACCGACUAAGUUAAGGGAAACAGAACUUACGGUUGCUUCCGAACAUUUUUCUUCAGCAAAAUAAAGCCAAUAGUGCGUAUUCGUUAACCUGGAAUGUGAACAGCAAGAGAUUAUGAGAAAAACUCCACUAACAAAUUCAAAAACAACAAAAGUAUGAAAUCAUAAACUAUUCAAAGCAUCAAUAAAAGAAAUUUAAUGCAGACAUAUACUAUCUCAAACACUCGCAUCCCUAUCAUGGCAAUCAGUUCAGUGAACGAAUAAACACCGAGGUAUCGUCAUUAUUAUAAUUUGCCUCAAUACAAACGACAUUGGGACGAUAGAAACAUUAGUAACACGAUAUAAUGCGGUAAACGGACAAAUCAAAAAACAGUAGUUUUGUAUAAUUUCAAAGUCCAAACUUACCAUCACCCCUUACUUUUUACCAACUAUGCCCCUUUAACAUCAUCACAAAACACUCUCUGCAAAACCAAUCCAUCCUUGUUCAUUUCUCACAAAUUCAAUCAACAUUUCGCAAGAAAGAGGAGUUUCAAGUGCUGAGCUAAUUCCAGCCUCCACCAAAUUUCAAGCAACCAAACAUCAGCAAGUUUUCCAAAGGUUUUUAACUUUUAAAUUUCUGUAACUUCAGUUCUAAUUUCAGCUAUAACACACAUCUCGAUAUAUAUACACAUAUAUUUCAAAUGAAACCAAAAUGCCGUACAUGAAUAACAGCUGCAUAUGUGUAUAUUUUGUGUAUAGCAGAACAAAGAUUUCAAAAGGAAUGACAACUUCACAAAUAGUUUUAAAGAAAAGAACUUUGACUUGAAUAAUCUGGAUUUUAGCUUUUGAACUCUAUUUUGUGAUGCUUGAGUCGAACUGAGUCGGUGGGUACCGAGUUGAGUCGGAUGGGUGUUGUUGUAGCUGCUGAGCCGAGUCAGGGAAGGUGGGCAACAGCCUCAGGGCUUUGUUUUAUCACCGGAGUUCAGAGGGAAGAGAUGGAGGGAGACCGGGCGUCGACUGUGGUGGCACGGCUGCUGCUGUAGUCUGUCCGGCGAGGCUUUGAGAUGAGGGAGAACGGAUGGAGGCAGCGCUGCGUAGGGGCGGCGUCGUUGCCAGAAAUUGAGAGGAGCCGUGAUUGGGGCUAGGGCUCAGACGGCGGAGUCCCUCACCGUCGCCGUUCUGGGUCAGAGAGGAGGCGAGAGCAGAGGGGUAAGGGAGAUGAGGCGGUGACCGUGGCGGCGGUUGCUGCCGCCGAGAAAGAGAGGGAUAUGGGGCGCCGGUGUGGCCGGAGAUGAGGGAGAAGAUGAAGGGAGUCGGGAGAGGGGCGGCGUGUGUGGGUCCGUGUGUGUGUGGCCAACCUUGAGUGAAAUAGAGUCGAGGGAGUCGGGAGAGGAGUGGCCGGCGGCGUUCGUGGCCGGAGGAGGAGCCGUGGCGGCGAGGUUCUGAGAGAGGGCCGGAUUCAGUAAGGUUUGAGAGAGAUUAGAGAGAGGGCGAGUUGUGGUGCUGAGGGAGAGAUUGAAACCUAUCUUGUGAGUUGUGACUUGUGA